rnacentral:rRNA from 1 species
UGGGGAAUAUUGCGCAAUGGGCGAAAGCCUGACGCAGCGACGCCGCGUGGGUGAUGAAGGUCUUCGGAUCGUAAAGCCCUGUUGGAGAGGAAAGAAAAAUUCGAGGGAAUAAUACCUCUCGGGUCUGACGGUACCUCUUCAGAAAGCACCGGCUAACUCCGUGCCAGCAGCCGCGGUAAUACGGAGGGUGCUAACGUUGUUCGGAAUUACUGGGCGUAAAGCGCGUGUAGGCGGCUUUUCAAGUCAGAUGUGAAAUCCCUUGGCUUAACCGAGGAAGUGCAUUUGAAACUGAAAGGCUAGAGUACGGGAGAGGGUUGUAGAAUUCCCGGUGUAGAGGUGAAAUUCGUAGAUAUCGGGAGGAAUACCGGUGGCGAAGGCGGCAACCUGGACCGAUACUGACGCUGAGACGCGAAAGCGUGGGUAGCAAACAGG